CCCUAGUACCAAGUAGUGAAUGAAGCAGAGCCUUCGAAGCCAGAAGGUCUAGACUGAAAGCACAGCUCGCCACCUGCUCACCAAUGAACCUGGGAAAGUUGCUUACCCUUUGGAAUCCUCAGCUUACUUCUCUGAAAGGCUUGCUUCUUGUUCCCAUCUACAUGGAUCCCAGCUUAAAUCUUGAUUCCUUCUGUUCCAUCCCAUUUUACACACUGUGGCCCCUCCAACUUUGUAUAGUCACAUAGAGCAUCCUCACGUGCCGAGUCUGGGCCACCUCAGAAUCAAGACAAGCCUUGACCCCACCACCUACACAAUGGCUCUAAAUCAGUGCGCUAAUGUACGAAAAACUAUCAUGAGGUACAAGCAAGAUGAUUAAUGCAAAAGGAAAGAGAGUCAUGUAAAUGCUAAAGUGACAAAUUAAUGCUUCUUGUUGUCAUUGUUGUUAUUUUUGUAAUUAUGCAGGAUUUAUGAAUUUGGUUCGACUAUCGCCUCAGCACGAAGCCACUGGGUAUUACUCUGUGUUGCCUGGGUAUUACACUGUAUUACAUCUGUGAUCCGUCCUCCCCAACCAACUGACAGCCCCUCAAGGGCAGGGCCAUACCCUCUGUGUUUGACCUUCCCCAGGGCCCAAGGGCCCCACCCUUUAAGGGUUUUGCUGAUGAUUCAUAUUAAUGGGGCAGAAAAGCACCUUUGACAGGGAUCAUUUCCUCUCUGACCCCUCCUGCAUCCCCGACCCUAACUAUUCUCCCUAUUGGCCACCAAAGCUAUCUUCUUAAAUUACUCUUCUGAACAUUGCAUGGUGGGGCUGAAAGCCCUCCCCCUGACUUCCCAUCUCCUGGCACAGCAGGUCUAUGACUUGACUAAGCAUCAGAACCAUCUAAAGAGAAUGGUAAGAUGCAGAGUCCUGAGUACACAUAGAUUCUGAUCCCCCUGUUCUAUGAUAACACCCAGAAAUCAGCAUUUUCCACACAAAUCCAGGAGGUUUGAAUGCAAGUAGCCUGGAGACUGUCAUUGGAACAAGACAAUGUUCAAAAUCCUUUGUCUGGCUUCUGAAUAAAGGAGGGCAAGAAACUCACAUCCUUAAAUCAUCAGCUACUCAGCACUUGACAAGUAUCAUCUCACUAAGUCCUACCCAGGAUUCCAUAAAGUGAGGACUGUUGAUAUUCCUGGUUUUCAGAUGGCAAAACUGAGGCUUGCAGAUGUUGGGUAAAUUGUGGAUUAAAUAAUGGAUUAUCCAGCCAAUUAGUAGUAAAGCAAGACCUAGAAGCCAGGUUUGCCUGGAUCCAAAACACGUAUUAUUUCCUUGGCACUGUGCUAUUUCCAUCAUCUGGUCCCUGC
rnacentral:lncRNA from 10 species